AUUGAACGCUGGCGGCAGGCCUAACACAUGCAAGUCGAGCGGAGCGGCGGACGGGUGAGUAAUGCCUAGGAAUCUGCCUGGUAGUGGGGGAUAAAGUCCGGAAACGGGCGCUAAUACCGCAUACUAUCAGAUGAGCCUAUGUCGGAUUAGCUAGUUGGUGGGGUAAAGGCCUACCAAGGCGACGAUCCGUAACUGGUCUGAGAGGAUGAUCGGUCACACUGGAACUGAGACACGGUCCAGACUCCUACGGGAGGCAGCAGUGGGGAAUAUUGGGCAAUGGGCGAAAGCCUGAUCCAGCCAUGCCGCGGGUGUGAAGAAGGUUUUCGGAUUGUAAAGCACUUUUAGUUGGGAAGCGGUACCAACAGAAUAAGCACCGGCUAACUUCGUGCCAGCAGCCGCGGUAAUAC
rnacentral:rRNA from 1 species